ACCGGACAUGGUCCAGGUGACCUGUGUGGCCAUUAAGGAAUGGACCAAGGUAACAAGAUUUUUUUAUACUUAAUUUUGCUGAAAUCUAUAAAGAUAUAUACUGUAUACAGCUAAGCACAAUUUUUUACCAUAAAAUGUGAUUUCAUUUGAAGAAGUGUUAUGCCACAUUUGUCUCACUUUUGGUUUCUAUAGAUCCUAAGGUUUAGAUUUACCCCUGCACCAGAGGCCAGUUGCACACAACAUCAGCAUGAUGCCAUAUUCUGGGAUGGAGAGCGGCUUCUUAGGACCACUGAAUUGGGACCACAGGGAAAACUAACAAAAAUUAAGGAGGGAGAAACAUAUUUUUUGAAAGGUUGCAGAGUGACAGAAUCAGGAUUUCUAAAUUUACACACACACACACACACACACACACACACACACACACACACACACACACACACACACACACUGUCUUGGUUGACUUUACCUCUGUUGGUGCAGGUCCAGCAAAAUGGACGUGCCUCAGGCAGCAGUGGAAGAAGGCCGGGCAAAGCUUUUCCCCAUGUCUCCUCAUAUUAGCUUUGAAGACCUGCAGAAUCCCCCAACUAUCUUUUCAGUUUGUGGAAAGGUUGUGAAAGUAAGUAUUUGAACAUGAUAAUAAAAUAAAUUGUACUACUAGUAAUAUUUUUAACAACUUCUUAUCAACUUGUAGAUGAGCCAAAUACUGUGCAAGGGGGAUAAUCUUCCUUUAACCCUCACGCAGCCUUCGAGGGGGUCAGUCUGACCCCACGAGACAAACUAUGAAACUUUUGAUUCUUUUUACAUUUUUGGCCACAAGGCACCUACGCGUCGCAGGAUCCACUGCGGCUUGGUCACCGCUCCCUUCUUCUUCGUCACAAAGGCCCCGUCCGCAUCCUCCCGGGGGUCCGGCGCGACCCCGGCCCACGGAACUUCCCCGUCAGGCGUCCUGCCCGGGGUCCGGCGCGACCCCAGCUCCCUGUACCUCCCCGUCAGGCGUCCUCCCGGGGUCAGGCGCGACCCCAGCCCCAUGUACCCUCCCCGUCCCGCAUCCUCCCGGGGUCAGGCGUGACCCCAGCUCCCUGUACCUCCCCGUCAGGCGUCCUCCCGGGGUCCGGCGCGACCCCGGCCCACGGAACCUCCCCGUCGGGCGUCCUGCCGGGGUCCGGCGCGACCCCAGCUCCCUGUACCUCCCCGUCAGGCGUCCUCCCGGGGUCAGGCGCGACCCCAGCCCCAUGUACCUCCCCGUCCCGCAUCCUCCCGGGUCAGGCGUGACCCCAGCUCCCUGUACCUCCCCGUCAGGCGUCCCUCCGGGGUCCGGCGCGACCCCGGCCCACGGAACCUCCCCUCGGGCGUCCUGCGGGGUCCGGCGCGACCCCAGCUCCCUGUACCUCCCCGUCAGGCGUCCUCCUGGAGUCAGGCGCGACCCCAGCCCCAUGUACCUCCCCGUCCCGCAUCCUCCCGGGGUCAGGCGCGACCCCAGCUCCCUGUACCUCCCCGUCAGGCGUCCUCCCGGGGUCAGGCGCGACCCCAGCCGCAUGUACCUCCCCGUCCCGCAUCCUCCCGGGGUCAGGCGCGACCCCAGCCCCCUGUACCUCCCCGUUCUCAGAGUAAUGGCUGUCUACAAGAAGACGGUAAGAAAAGCGUUUCAGUGAAAUAAUACCUUCUGUUUUAAAAUGUUUGUUAAAAGAAAACGAGAGAGAGAGAGAUGCUUUGGCUUUUUGGUUUUUCCUUUUCAGCUGCAGACCAUCGCAGUCAUUUGAUCAGAGCGGAGGGCAGCCAAAGGCCUCAGUAUCUUGAGGAUCACAACACAAAAAGGCACAGUGUGACUGUUCCCUAUGAGCCGCCCCAGGUAUCACUGCCUCUCACUUCUGACCUUUCCCCUAACGUAGCAAUUAAAUG
ensembl:lncRNA